GCCGCACAUAGUGCAAUGGGGAGAGAGAGAAACAGAAAAGAGUUAUAGGGUCAUAAACAGAGGACCCCCGCCCCCAAUGACGGUGAGAGCGAGCUGUGACUCGUACUCUAUCUAUCUCUGUCAAUGCCAAAUUCCAAAUCUUUCCAGAAACUGUGUCAAGCAACGCGACGGGCCUUCUUCCUCUUCCUCUUCCCCUGCCACUACCUCGGCCGCUGUCCCAUUCAGGUGGUGUCAAUGUCUGGACACGAUUCCGUUCUUCCCAUACCAUUCCAUUCACCGUUCUUAUCAGCUCUCAUCGACAUCUCCAGCACACAGAUUCGCUUUCGACCGUCCGCCAGGCCGGGCCGACCCGGGACGGUUCCAGAGUCCAUGUGAAAAGGUGUUUACGGGUUUUUGAUCGUUUGACAUUUCACCAGGAUUUCGAUGCGACGAUUGACGUCAAUCGAUCGCUGGGGGCUGUUCUCUGGCACGAGAGACGAGACGAGACGUGACGAGGCGAGAAGCCGCUUCAUGGAGCAGACAAAAGUUACACCGAAGACAACGAAGAGCGAAGAGCGAAGACCGAAGGCCUCGCCCGGUAUCAAGAUUAAGAUUUGUUUUUGUUUACGACUCAUUCUACCCCAUAGGCUACCCCAUCAGCAUCAGCAACCCAUCGCCCCCACUUCACAGAGAGGAUGGAAUAUCAGCACAGAGUUAUUUAUAGUUCUUUUGUCCCUAAUGAUACUUCCCUGUGCAUCCAUAACAAGUGCCAUUCGACCUGGAAGAGCACUCUCGCUACGAAC
rnacentral:lncRNA from 1 species